GAGCGUUCAUCACCCCCUAAUUUCUAUUACAUGGAUAACUCUUUUGCUUUAAAAGAUAUUUUAAUGAGAUUUUCACUAGUAUUUUUUAAAUAUUUAGCAGAAGAAGCGAAGUUAUUUGUUUAUUUUUUUUUUUUAAAUAUUGAUAUUUUUCUUUUUUAUAAAAAAAAAAUAUAAAAAAAUAAAUAAGUUCGCCUCUAGUAAAUGCGUUUUUAAAAAAUUAACCCUAAUAACAUUUUAUGAAAUUUUUAAUAAUAAACCUAGCAAACGUGUAAUAGCAAAAUAUGGCAAUUUUCAUCAAAUUUUAGAAUAUUUACUACGUCUCGGCAUACUUGGCAGCAUUGCUUUAUGCUUUAUCGAUCCAAGAUCUACUGGCGAGCGUCGUUCCCGUGUCACCCCAAUGUUAAAAAAUAUUAAUAUAUAGUAAUGUAAUAAAUUAUGUAGGUUGAAUAUUAACAAAUACGAAAAGUUUGGACUACCUGAUUUUAGUUAUUUUUCGAACUUUUGUCCACAAUCCUUUUUGGUUUGUGAUGUAGCGUUGAUGUGUUUACAAAUUUGCCGUACGCUGCAAUAUUAUUAAUAAUUGUUAUUAGUAGGCAACUAAUAACAAUUAAUAAUAUUAGGUACUUAGGUUAGAUUAGUAGGAUAUUUAGUAAAUUUUGUUUUUUUUUGUUUGAAUUUUUAAGCCUGUCUGCAAGCGACUGUCGCCGCGCCAUCGCGUCGCCUCGGUGCCGCCUUACCCCAUUGUUAAACAAUAAUGUUAUAUUAUAUUCAGGUAGAAUAAUGAGAAAAACGAAAAUUUUAGACUGGGUACCUGAAUAACUGUAACUUUUUACGUACCCUAACACUUUUUAGUUUGUGAUGUGCCGUUGUAUAUGGAAGUCUGUCAUGUGCUAUUUUUGUGAAAACUGUGAACUUUACUGUUAUAGUGUUUUUGUUUUUAUUGUGCAAGAGCAGUUAUUUUUUGAAAAAAUGGGAAAACGUAAAGACGGUAAAUCCAAGGUUUACUAUUCGCGCCGGAAAUCAAGGAAACACAAAAGAGUUAUUAUCUAACUAAUACUAAAAAGUAAGUAUGGAUUUUAACAAUUUUUUUUUGAAAAAGUAGAUUUAUUAAAAACAAUUAGAUAAACAGUAGAUAAAUAUUUCCAAAAAUUAUUUUAUUAUUUUGUCUCAUUGUAAACAUAAAAAUACCACUUUUGGGCCACUUUUAUAACAUUUUUUUUUCAAGGCAAUACGAUUAUUAGGGCCUGAGAUAUAGCCGGUGAACAUUCUUAUUUGCCCACCCGGUACAUAAUAUGUACCCAAUUGGCCCAUAUUUCUUAUUUUUUAAUGAUUUGUUUAAAAAGUGAAUAUGGAAUGGUUUGUAACAAAUUAUUUUUAAAAAAUUCGAUGAAAGGCUUAAUACCUAAACUCGUGAUAAAAACUAAACUUUCAUUUUGGCCAUAUUUUUUUUUAUUAUUUUUUAAUUAGUUGAGUUUUUUAAUUAUUUAUUUUUUAUUAGUUUUUAUAUCAAAAUAUUACUUUUAGAACAUCUCCUGAUACCAUAACUGACUACGUUAUAGAAGGAAGGAGAAUCGUAGAUAUUCAGAAGCUUUUUAAAGAAAUCCAGAAUUUAUCCAGACACCCUCCAUUUAAUUGCACAAUUGCAGAUAUGAACAUUUUGACGGAAAAUAGAAAAGGCUUAAAAAGUUCAAUUUUACUAAAGUGCAAAAUGUGCAAUUUAGAAAAAUACCUCAAUCUGUUUACUCAAGAUGAGUCUGAAACAUCCAUGGACAUAAAUGCCGCAGCAGCCUUAGCAACCAUUUCAACGGGUAUUGGAUUUACUGCCGCAGAAGAAUUUAUGGCCAUACUGGAUGUCCCUUUUAUGUCUCCAAAUACAUAUCAGCAGCACCAUGAGUUUGUGGGAGAAAAGAUAAGGGAAACGGCUUGAAAAGCAAUGGAGGAAGCCGCACAAGAAGAGAGUUUAUUGGCCAAAGAAUUAGGAGAAGUAGACCAAAAUAAUCGCCCCUGUAUCACUGUUGUGGCUGAUGGUGCUUGGAGCAAAAGGUCUUAUAAUGUUAAUUAUGAUGCUGCUUCAGGAGUUGCUUGUAUAAUUGGACAGAGGACCGGAAAACUUUUAUUUCUUGGCAUCCGAAAUAAAUACUGCAGCUUUUGUGCAUACGCCAGUGCCAAAAACAUGGAAGUCAUUCCAGAUCAUACAUGUUAUAAGAACUGGUCAAAUACAUCCACAAGUAUGGAAUCCGACAUAAUUGUGGAAGGAUUUCGAAAAAGUAUUGACAUGUAUAAUAUUAUUUAUAAAAGACUUGUUGGGGAUGGUGACAGUAGCGUCUAUAAAAAACUGAUCGAGGCUCGCCCAUAUGGAAGUUUACAUGUGGAGAAAAUUGAGUGCAGGAAUCAUUUAUUAAGAAAUUUUUGCUCCAAAUUGCGUGAAAUAUCUAAUAAGUUUAUUUAUCAUUAGCAUUAAUUUUUGAAAAAGCUAUUAAUUGUUCUUUAUUUAUUUUAGGUAAAAAAAGAAGCAACAGUACAAAUAAUCCGGUUUCACCAUACCUGCGCAAACAUAUUUUGAACAAUAUACGAAGGAUGAGAACUGCUGUGGCAAUGGCUGUUACUCAAAGAAAUAAAGAAGAUAAAAGCUUUAGUAUUAAAAUAGAAAAUCUUACUAAAGAUUUAAAAAAUAUACCAUCCCACGUAUUUGGAGAGCAUCUAAACUGUACAGCCAUAGGAUAUUUUAGAUGUGAUAAAAAGUUUGGAGAAAAAAAUUAUAUUGAAGAAAUGAAGGCAUGUGGGGUUUUGCAAGACAUUGAAGUUUGUCUAAAUAGACUCAUAUUGCAUGCUUCCAGUUUGUUAAGAAAUAUGGACAAUAAUGUAGCUGAACAUUAUAACUCUGUGGUAUGCAAGUUUAUUGGCGGAAAGCGCAUCAAUUUUUCAAAAAGAAGGUCUUAUCAAAUACGGUGUGAAGCUGCAGCCCUAUCUUAUAAUCUUGGAAGCGGAGAAUACCACAAACAAAUUUUUAAAUCAAUUGCUGAAAAAAGUCCUUCUGGUCAUACAAAAAAAUUUAUUAAUAGAGUUAAACAAAGACGUAUUAAUACUCUUAAAAUAAGACCAAAAACCCUAUUUAAAAAACGAAAUAAAUCAAUUGCGCUUCCUGAUAAAGAUUAUGGGGAUCAGGAGGCAGAUAAUAGCAUACAGCCAGACAUGGAAGAAAAUUUAUUUGAAGAAAAAAAAAAGGAAUUUUUAGAAGAACUCGAAAAUUUAGAAGAAAUGAAAAUGAGAUUAAGGAUUUAGAGAUUAGUACCAGAGGACAAGGAGGAAAUCCAAAGUGGUAUCAAGAAAGGAGUUUAAGGCUUACAGCGUCAAAUUUUGGAAAUAUUUGCAAAAUGCUAGAAAAAACAAAUUGCAAAAAUAAAGUAAAAGCAAUUCUUUAUUCCAAGUUUCGGGGCAAUAAACACACUAAGUAUGGCACCGAAAAAGAACCAUUUGCUAUUCAACAAUUUGAGGAAACCUACAAUUUAAAAGUUGAAAUGUGUGGUCUUUUUAUUGAUUCCGAAUGUUGUGCUUUGGCUGCUAGCCCUGAUGGGCUAGUUGGCUCAAGAGGAUUAGUAGAAGUAAAGUGCCCAUCAACAGCUUCAGCAAUCAGCCCUACAGAAGCUAUCAAUAAAAAAAUAAUCAAGUUUGCCACCCUUGAUGAAAAUGGACAGAUGCAUUUAAAACAGAACCAUGAUUAUUUUUAUAAAAUCCAAGGCCAGCUUCAUAUCACAAAAAGAGAUUUUUGUUAUUUUAUUUUAUGGACACCUAUGGGGAUGCUGGUAGAACAGAUUUGGCGGCAGGACUCAUUCUGGAAUGACAAAAUGAUAGGAAAAUUAAAAAGUUUCUAUUACAAUUGUUUAUUACCGGAAAUUAUCGACCCGCGAUAUAGUAGAGGACUGGAAAUAAGAAAUCCAUCGAGAAAAUAACAACAUUUCAAUUUUAAAAUAGGUAUAUUAAUAGAUUUUUGCAAAUAUAAAACUGUACUUUUUAAAAUAAAAUUUAAAAUAUAAGUAUGUAUAUAAUUGUUUUUUCAAUAAGAUUAGGGUAAAAUGUAUAACAGUUCAAAAAAGAUGUAUAAAAAAAACAAUUAUACAUAGAUUUUGUAUAAAAAAUGUAUAUUUUUUUAAAAAUUCCUUUUAAAAACUCCCCCGUACAUCAUUAACAAAAAGUCUCGCAAAAAGUUUAAUAAUAAUUGUAGCAAAAAAAAAAUUAUAUGAAAUAGGAUCGAGCACCCCAUUUCAAAGAAAAAUUUUGCCAAUAAUCGACAAUCGUAAUGUCUCAUUAUUCAAGUUUCAUAAUUCCCCGCGCCAUGCUAUGCCAUCCUCACCAGAUUUAUAUGACACGCGAGAACCUAUCGGUUUGGUCGCCGCUUUGAAAUGACCCCUUCCCUUCAUCCUUCCGCUGAGUGUUGCCAUAUGUUGGGUGAGCCAAAAAAUCGCCUAUAUUUUGAAAUCCGAGUUGGUCACGUGCUGAUGGAUGCUC